rfam:Schistosoma curassoni strain Dakar, Senegal genome assembly, scaffold: SCTD_contig0000605
AUCCAGCUGACGAGUACCAAAUAGGACGAAACGCGCGUCCUGGAU